CUAAAAUCCCUGUCAAAUGAGGAACUUUUGGAGGAGCUGGGGCUGCUGAGUCUGGAGGAGAGAAGGAUGGGACAUGGGACAUCUGACAUGGAAGAGGCGGCCAUCUCCUGAGCUGAUCCAGAGGGGAGGGUGGUUGGUGUGACCCGGAAGCUGAUUACAGCUCAGCCUGGGGUCAGACUCACAGUUUACCAUCUGGCUGCAGUACACCCGUUCCUCACUGAGAGGGUGAAGAGCACUGUCCCCGCUAGAGGUGAAACAGGAGUCAGAUUGGAGGCUUUAAGUAAGCAACUUCUGCACAGUGCUCUCAGCACCUGUGAUGGGGCCGCCCGGCCAGGAAUCCCAGGGGAGAGGCAGCAGCCUGGAGCAGCUUUGUAUCAGGGCUGGACUGUUCCUUCCCUGCCCCGAGCAUGGAAGGAAGCUCAGCCAGGCCAGCUCAGACCUGCCUGAGUCAUAGUACCCCCAUGAAGCCCCUCUCCUUGCAGAGGUACCCGUGUGGCCACCUUCUGCCUCAACUUCCCUCUCCAGCCCAAGUCCUACAUGUCCACCCGCCUGCUAGAUCAUUCCACCGGCCUGUGCUACAGUCACAUCAACAACACCCAGAAUCAUUUCUUAGAUGCCCAGACAAGAUCCGCUGCAAAGUGCAUGAACUAUUUGUGCCUCAGUAGUUGCCAAUAGAUGGAUUUUGCUAGGAUUGCGAAUUGGCCAUCUUGAACUGCAGCCUGCAGAAGCCGCCUCUGGCGCAGCCUCCGGGUCACAACAGCAGCCACCCAGCCGCUGCCACCAGAAAAAAGAGACUGGAGAGCUGUUCUCAGGCCUCAAAGACAACAGGGCCUUAAAUCUUUUCUGCAACCAGGCAGGAUAAAAUAUGGCCGUGCGAGGAAGCAAACAAGGGUCUCUCCUGCUCUUUCCUUUCUCUCUCACGUAUCCUCCGUGGUAUGUUUUUCCUCUCUCCCUCAAAUCUCUCCCUCUCUCCCUUUUUCUCUCUUCCUGUCAUCUUGGCUCCUUCUUCAAGAGCAAAAAAAAUAAGGAUAACAGUUACAAAAAGAAAACAGAAAAUAAAGACUAGUUUAUAAAACAGUGAAUGGUGAACUACUUGCAAUAAAAUGAUCAGAGAGAAAAGCAGAAUGUAGAACUGACCAUGCAGUAUGGCAUUGCUUUUUAAAAGUAUACAGAGAAGAAAGAUGAAAAGCAGGAAAGCAAGCCAAGUGGGAAUAGUGGUAGCUUUGGGCAAUAGGAAUAUAGAUGAUUCUCAUUUUUUUCCUUUUAAAUGUUUUUGCAUUUCAAAAUUAUCUAAAAUGAUUAGUAGCAUACUUAUCCUCAGGAAGUUUUUAAAAAAUAAAUACAGUAAUAAUACACCCAUAAACAACUAAAGCGGCCUUUGCUUUUCAUUAAGCAAGGUGUAUUAGCCUCUGCCAUUUAAAAUAACAGGAAC